rnacentral:tRNA from 1 species
GGCCUAUUAGCUCAGCUGGUUAGAGCGUCGAGCUAAUAACGCGUAGGUCUCAGGUUCGAGUCUUGCAUGGGCCA